UGUCUCCCAAAACUGAACAGAUAUAGAUUAUGAUUUUUGAUGGGUCAACUCAUCUUUCUGAAGGUCAAUGACAAUGAAUGACUGCAUCAGACAAAGCCAGACAGACCACGUUGGAACAAUUCAACUUGUUCUCAUGGACUUCAAACGCCUCCAUUUUUAUAUCGUUCUCCACUUGUAUAUACCAGAAAUUUUCAGCGGUUUGUACUUUUGUGAGCUUCUCGGAUUGCAUAGCAUUCCUUUUCUUUACACACUGCAAAUCCUCCUCUUGUAUGAUUGUGCCAAGAGCUAGCAAGCAGUUAAAUUACUCUUGUAAUUACUGUGAAAUAAUAACAUCAUAGUUCUAUCGGCAUUCCUUUUUUCACGGUGCAUUGAGUUGGGAAGUAAAGGCGGCCAUCUUUUGUAGUAACAUUUGCUACUUGUUAAUUUGACAAGAUUCGCAGCUUUUCACCAGAUCUGAUAAAGCUACACCAAUCAGAUGCAUGGCUUCUGUUGUCUGAUUUCUGCCUAUCAGGGAACUCCAAAUUCCUAAGUGAACAAAACAUAAUUCAAAAAAAUUUAAAUUGUAAAGGCUGUGGCCCGCAACCUCAAAGAUUUUUGCUAGUUACGC
rnacentral:lncRNA from 1 species